GAUGAACGCUGGCGGCGUGCCUAAUACAUGCAAGUCGAGCGAACAGACGAGGAGCUUGCUUCUCUGACGUUAGCGGCGGACGGGUGAGUAACACGUGGAUAACCUACCUAUAAGACUGGGAUAACUUCGGGAAACCGGAGCUAAUACCGGAUAAUAUAUUGAACCGCAUGGUUCAAUAGUGAAAGACGGUUUUGCUGUCACUUAUAGAUGGAUCCGCGCCGCAUUAGCUAGUUGGUAAGGUAACGGCUUACCAAGGCAACGACGCGUAGCCGACCUGAGAGGGUGAUCGGCCACACUGGAACUGAGACACGGUCCAGACUCCUACGGGAGGCAGCAGUAGGGAAUCUUCCGCAAUGGGCGAAAGCCUGACGGAGCAACGCCGCGUGAGUGAUGAAGGUCUUCGGAUCGUAAAACUCUGUUAUUAGGGAAGAACAAAUGUGUAAGUAACUAUGCACGUCUUGACGGUACCUAAUCAGAAAGCCACGGCUAACUACGUG
rnacentral:rRNA from 1 species